CCUACGGGAGGCUGCAGUAGGGAAUAUUGCUCAAUGGGGGAAACCCUGAAGCAGCAACGCCGCGUGGAGGAUGAAGGUUUUCGGAUUGUAAACUCCUUUUGUUAGAGAAGAUAAUGACGGUAUCUAACGAAUAAGCACCGGCUAACUCCGUGCCAGCAGCCGCGGUAAUACGGAGGGUGCAAGCGUUACUCGGAAUCACUGGGCGUAAAGAGCGCGUAGGCGGGAUAGCAAGUCAGAUGUGAAAUCCUAUGGCUUAACCAUAGAACUGCAUUUGAAACUGUUAUUCUAGAGUAUGGGAGAGGUAGGUGGAAUUCUUGGUGUAGGGGUAAAAUGCGUAGAGAUCAAGAGGAAUACUCAUGGCGAAGGCGACCUGCUAGAACGUAACUGACGCUGAGGCGCGAAAGCGUGGGGAGCAAACAGGAUUAGAUACCCCAGUAGUC
rnacentral:rRNA from 1 species